rnacentral:tRNA from 1 species
GGUUCUAUGGUGUAUCACUUAGCACUUUGGACCUUGAAUCUAAUGACCUUGGUUUGAAUCCCAAUAGACCCU